rnacentral:lncRNA from 1 species
AUGGUGUUUCUCCUUCCUCUUUUCCUUCAUUCAGAGAAUCCGUGCAUCGUCUGUCCUCUUCACGGAGUCAUCCUGGGGUUCUCUCGCUCCGCUAUCACCAGUCUCCUCACAUCUGCAGACCAUCAAAAUGUUCUCCAGAGUCUACUUUCUAAAUAUUCUGCCUGUUGUCUCCUCUCCGCCCCCGCUGGUAUGACCUUACCUAAUCCACUAUCAUUUAUCCCCUAGAGUGGCUUGACAGCUUCCUAACCUUUGUUCGUGUUUCCAGACUCAUGUCUUCUACUCAAUCUCCAUUCUACCGAGUAAACUUUCUAAGGCACAAAUGUCAUCUAAUCACUCCUGUUAUUAAACAUUCUUCAUUGACUCCUCAUUUCCUGACUUGGUGACCAUGCUUUCCCGAAACCUGGCCCCAAGCCUGAGUUCCCACUGCAUUCUGCCAUGCUGCCUGCAUUCCAGCUAUACAUCAUGUCAUUGACCCAUUUCUAGACUUUUCUUCAAAACAUUCCAUACACCUUUCCUUUUCCUUUUCUGAUGUAUAAUCUUUCCAGUUCUACAAAGCCUUGUUUCUAGACUUGUAACUCAGUUCCUAGACCACAGGAAGAACUAAUCACAUCCUUUUCUGUGUCUACUGCACCUAAGCUCCUAUCACCCUGUUGUCACUAUAUAUUUACAUAUCUAUCUACCCUAUUAGACUUAAGAGCUUCUUGAGGGUCAGGGACCUUGUCCUAUCAUUGCACUCUCUACCCCAGCAGCUCCAGACAGUUUUAAGUGCCACAGUAGCUCAGCUGAAUUCCUUCCUCCACUGCAGGUCUUGACUGACUCUCAAUUACUCAUGAGCCAUGGCAUUCCCCUCCCUGCGAAGUUUAAGGGCACUCAGAUGCGUAAUGGCCAUUAUUGGAUCUGAACAACAUGACUGGAUUACUGCCAACAUAGUUCCACUAAAGGCUAAGAAAUGCGCAUUGUUUUAGAGUCUGGAAACAAGCUCUCCCAGAUGAAGCAUCUGAAUUCUGGUCAAAGUAGCACUCCAGGGAGCCACUACCACUCAUUCACAACCAGGCUACAAGACAAAACCCUGUUUUCCGUCCUUAACCUCAACCUUCUCUCAGUGGUCCAGAGAGUCCCAGAUACACGUGGGAAGGGCAAACACUUAGAAUAAACUGGUACAUAUGCCAAAGGGGGAUGGAACU